UUCUUCGGGGCAGGGUGCAAUUCCCUACCGGCGGUAUAGUCCGCGACCCGCUUUGAGCGGCUGAUAUGGUGUGAAUCCAUAACCGACAGUAUAGUCUGGAUGAGAGAAGA
rnacentral:ncRNA from 1 species